rnacentral:rRNA from 1 species
UACGGGGGGUCCAAGCGUUGUUCGGAAUCAUUGGGCGUAAAGCGGGUGUAGGCGGACCGACAAGUCAGAAGUGAAAGCCCUGGGCUCAACCCAGGAAGUGCUUUUGAAACUGUCGGUCUUGAGUGCAGUAGAGGAGAGUGGAAUUCCAGGUGUAGUGGUGAAAUACGUAGAUAUCUGGAGGAACAUCAGUGGCGAAGGCGGCUCUCUGGACUGUUACUGACGCUCAGACCCGAAAGCGUGGGUAGCGAACAGG